GAUGAACGCUGGCGGCGUGCCUAACACAUGCAAGUCGAACGGGGUGAUUUCCUUCGGGAGAUCACUUAGUGGCGAACGGGUGAGUAACGCGUGAGAAACCUGCCUUUCAGUGGGGGACAACAGUUGGAAACGACUGCUAAUACCGCAUAAUGUAUUUUAGGGGCAUCCCUUGAAUACCAAAGCUUUAUGUGCUGAAAGAUGGUCUCGCGUCUGAUUAGCUAGAUGGCGGGGUAACGGCCCACCAUGGCGACGAUCAGUAGCCGGUCUGAGAGGAUGAACGGCCACAUUGGGACUGAGAUACGGCCCAGACUCCUACGGGAGGCAGCAGUGGGGAAUAUUGGGCAAUGGGGGGAAACCCUGGACCCAGCAACGCCGCGUGAAGGAAGAAGGGCCUUCGGGGUUUGGUAAAGACUCUAUCAGCAGGAA
rnacentral:rRNA from 1 species